GCCGGUUUCGCUUAGUGGUAAAGCAGCUGACUCGUAACCAGCAGCCAUGAGUUCGAUCCUCAUAAUCGGCACCA
rnacentral:tRNA from 1 species